rnacentral:lncRNA from 1 species
GAGAGAGUGAGAGAGAGUCUUGGGCCCAAGACUGGAUUUCUGUUCGCCUGGACCAGUACUUGGGCCUAAUUUUCAUUUUGGGCAUUUGACCCAUUUUGUACCUGUCCUAGGCUAACAACAUAAUAGCCAAAACAAAUGGACCUUCUAGCCCAAUAAUUACAAAAUACAAAUGCUGAAAUUUUAAGUGGACUUUUGCCCCUCUUUCUGCCGUAUCACAAUGUAUACAACAUAUAUACAUCCCUUGAUCUCACUCCGAACACGU